rnacentral:tRNA from 1 species
GAAGUGUGCCUGAAAGNUAAGGACCUCCUUGAUAGGGAGGCUCAUAGGGGUUNAAACCCCCUCANUUCCU